rnacentral:rRNA from 1 species
UACGGAGGGAGCUAGCGUUGUUCGGAAUUACUGGGCGUAAAGCGCACGUAGGCGGCUUUGUAAGUUAGAGGUGAAAGCCCGGGGCUCAACUCCGGAACUGCCUUUAAGACUGCAUCGCUUGAAUCCAGGAGAGGUGAGUGGAAUUCCGAGUGUAGAGGUGAAAUUCGUAGAUAUUCGGAAGAACACCAGUGGCGAAGGCGGCUCACUGGACUGGUAUUGACGCUGAGGCGCGAAAGCGUGGGGAGCAAACAGG